rnacentral:ncRNA from 1 species
CCUGCUGUACGACCAGCAGUAGCCUAGGAAGACAUGCGUCACUGGCAACGGUGGGGUGUGAAGCUCUUCUAACAAUGUAGCCUUCGGACGUAUCGGGCGGGUGAACGCCGCGAGGUGCUCACUCGGAGACUCCAAGCAGCAAAAGGGGUUGAGGCG